rnacentral:rRNA from 1 species
GAUGAACGCUGGCGGCGUGCUUAACACAUGCAAGUCGAACGGAAAGGCCAGUGCUUGCACUGGUACUCGAGUGGCGAACGGGUGAGUAACACGUGGGUGAUCUGCCCUGCACUUCGGGAUAAGCCUGGGAAACUGGGUCUAAUACCGGAUAGGACAAUGGUUUGGAUGCCGUUGUGGAAAGUUUUUUCGGUGUGGGAUGAGCUCGCGGCCUAUCAGCUUGUUGGUGGGGUAAUGGCCUACCAAGGCGUCGACGGGUAGCCGGCCUGAGAGGGUGUACGGCCACAUUGGGCCUGAGAUACGGCCCAGACUCCUACGGGAGGCAGCAGUGGGGAAUAUUGCACAAUGGGCGCAAGCCUGAUGCAGCGACGCCGCGUGGGGGAUGACGGCCUUCGGGUUGUAAACUCCUUUCGCUAGGGACGAAGCGUAUUUGUGACGGUACCUGGAGAAGAAGCACCGGCUAACUACGUG